CAAGUAGAACGCUGAAGGAGGAGCUUGCUUCUCUGGAUGAGUUGCGAACGGGUGAGUAACGCGUAGGUAACCUGCCUGGUAGCGGGGGAUAACUAUUGGAAACGAUAGCUAAUACCGCGUAAUAUUGAUUAUUGCAUGAUAGUCAAUUAAAAGGUGCAAUUGCAUCACUACCAGAUGGACCUGCGUUGUAUUAGCUAGUUGGUGAGGUAACGGCUCACCAAGGCAACGAUACAUAGCCGACCUGAGAGGGUGAUCGGCCACACUGGGACUGAGACACGGCCCAGACUCCUACGGGAGGCAGCAGUAGGGAAUCUUCGGCAAUGGACGGAAGUCUGACCGAGCAACGCCGCGUGAGUGAAGAAGGUUUUCGGAUCGUAAAGCUCUGUUGUAAGAGAAGAACGAGUGUGAGAGUGGAAAGUUCACACUGUGACGGUAUCUUACCAGAAAGGGACGGCUAACUACGUGCCAGCAGCCGCGGUAAUACGUAGGUCCCGAGCGUUGUCCGGAUUUAUUGGGCGUAAAGCGAGCGCAGGCGGUUAGAUAAGUCUGAAGUUAAAGGCUGUGGCUUAACCAUAGUACGCUUUGGAAACUGUUUAACUUGAGUGCAAGAGGGGAGAGUGGAAUUCCAUGUGUAGCGGUGAAAUGCGUAGAUAUAUGGAGGAACACCGGUGGCGAAAGCGGCU
rnacentral:rRNA from 1 species